CUGCUCACUUCAGCAGCAUAUACACUAAAAUUGGAAAGAUAUAGAGAAGAUUAGCAUGGCCMCUGUGCAAGGAUGACAUGCAAAUUCAUGAAGAGUUCCAUAUUUUU
rnacentral:snRNA from 1 species